rnacentral:misc_RNA from 1 species
GUUUUCAGUACUGUUUUGUUCAUGCAGUACUUUCAAAGGCUCUGAUUAUCCUAUAUAUAGCAAUUAGCGGGAUCAAGGAGAUCGUACUAUGAUUGUGGGAUAAUUAUAAUCUUUGAAUGUAAUGUAUGCACUUCGGAACCACACCAUACGAAGUUCAUUGACAAAAGCCGUUUGUUGGUGAUUUGUGUUUAUGUUGGGUUAUUUGUGCGAACCAUUUUUUUAAACGAAUUGUGCGGGUUUGAGUAUCAUGGGUUAGGAGCUACUUAUAUUUCUCAGAACUCCAUACUGAGUGAUUAGUGUCACUGUCGUAACAAUAGGGUGACGACAGUCUUAUUUAAAUGCCUGUAUGUACGCAUACACUUUCGUGCCAUCGGACAGGAGAUGUUUCAGAUGCGAGGAACGAAUUUAGAAAUACAAGAGCAGACAGAGAUAUUUUAAGAGAAUUAAUACAGAAUUACAUAAGCGGAAAGAGAUGCACUAAAACAGCGACUGCAUGCUACGGUAUGUGUUAUCCAUGGAGCUGGCUUGAUUGAGAGAUUCUAACUGUGUCAUCCAAACGAAGCAGAACUGAUUCAUUUGCAGAAACAAGAAAAGAUUUUGCAUUUAGAACUGUGAUCAGUUGAGUACACUUUUAAUUUAAAAAUGGGUCUGAUAUUUGGUAAAGCUCAAGAUGAAGUGCAAGUUAAAAACAAAACUAUAGAAACUGCUACAGAACAGUGCCAUCUGGCAACUGUUGAACCAGAAAAGAAAGUAACCACAAGUAAACAGUAUUUAAACUUCACUUUUUUGAUUGAUCCAUCUACAGUAGAUUACAUACGCACCUCAAAAACAAUAUUCAUUUUACGCGGCCUUGCUGGCAGUGGAAAAUCAACAAUUGCAAAAGAAAUUGAAGAGACAUACAAAGGUGCUGUAAUAUGCUCCGCAGACCAAUUCUUCACAGUCAGAGGCAGGUACAUGUUUAAUCCAAAGAAGCUGAGAGAGGCUCAUGAAUAUUGUCAGGAGAAAGCGAGACGUGCUUGCAUAAGAAAUGAAAAUGUUAUAGUUAUUGAUAACACUAAUGUUCAGAAGUGGCCGAUGGAGUACUACUUUCUGUUAGCGUUUAAAACUUGCUAUACUGUUGUCCUAGUGGAACCGCAAACACCAUGGAAAGAUGAUCCCCUUUUUUUAUCAAUUAAGAAUCAACAUAAUGUACGAGAAGAGACUAUUCAAAAGAAAUUGGAACAGUGGGAAACAGUCUUGCCACUUUAUUUUGGCUGGUUUCUGAAUGAAUCUGAUUCUCGUAUGCUGUUACUUGUUGGUCAGGCAUAUCUUGAAGAGUGCCUGAAGUUACCUGAAUUUGAAGAAGAUUUCCAGAGUUUUAGCUCAUUGGAAGAUAAGUCAGAGAUGCUGGAGUACUACACUAAGAGGGGUAAGCUGUUACACUGCACGGCAAAGUUCUGUAAGUGUGGAGAAGUUCCAGAUGCUUUGGAAUAUUCGUCAAAACGUGAUGUUCUAGAAGCACAUGGAAAAUGUUAUGAUUUGAAUGUAGUUGGAUUUGUGAUGACUCCAAGGACAUUUGGAGCACGAGUGAAGCUUAAUUCUGAAGAGAUGAAACUAUGGGGAGGAGAACUUUCAUCAGCCACAUCUUCACCUCAGAAUUCACCUAGAAUGAAACAGAAAAGGAAUGCAGAUCUUUACAUAGAUGUCAGGGACAGAGAGAGCAAACAUGUACCAAAUUGUCAAGCAUCUCUUAUUUGUUUACCAGAGACUGAUAUUUCAUUGCAGCCAACCAAAGGAUUUGGUAGUAAAGCUCAUAUCACACUGGGAUCUGCAGAUGGGAUACAGCCGGUCACAACAGGUUUAGACCUACUUGAUGUUAUUGAUUGUGAAGCAUUGUCACAUGAAGGAGGAGUGGUAGUACAGCAAUUAUGCCAGAGAGCUUAUGUGAAGUUUGCAAAGUAGGAACGAGCAAUUAUUAGAAUUGAAGCUGUGAGAGCGAGUCGUGGUUCGUGCCUGGCUGACUAAGUCGGGCAAGAUCAAAGCUGAUUGACAAAGAGCUUGAGUGGCUACUCAAGGCCAGGUUUCAACACUGUACCAGAUGAAGACUCCGAGAUAGAAUAGUAACUUAUCACACAAACUAACUGCAAUUCAGAUUCUGAAUAAGAACAAUAUGGUGUCUGAACAGUCACUCUCUCCACUGGUGAUAUUUUUAUUGAGAGGGAAACAUGUAAAUGGAAUAAAAGGUGUGGUAAUGU